rnacentral:rRNA from 2 species
UACGGAGGGUGCAAGCGUUAUCCGGAUUCACUGGGUUUAAAGGGUGCGUAGGUGGGCAGGUAAGUCAGUGGUGAAAUCUCCGGGCUUAACUCGGAAACUGCCGUUGAUACUAUCUGUCUUGAAUAUCGUGGAGGUUAGCGGAAUAUGUCAUGUAGCGGUGAAAUGCUUAGAUAUGACAUAGAACACCCAUUGCGAAGGCAGCUAACUACACGAUCAUUGACACUGAGGCACGAAAGCGUGGGGAGCAAACAGG